rnacentral:lncRNA from 1 species
AUUUCAUUGUGUAUUUAUACCACAAUUUCUUUAUACAUUCACCUGUUGGUGUGCAUCUAAAUUGAUUCCAUACCUUAAUUAGUGUGAACUGUGCAGCUAUAAACAUUGAUGUGGGUGUGCCACUGCACUAUGCUGAUUUAAAAUCCUUUGGAUAUACGCUGAGGAGUGGGAUAGCUGGGUCAAAUGGUGGUUCCAUUCCUAGUUUAUUGAGGAAUCUUCAUACAGCUUUCCCAAGGGGUUGCUCCAAUUUGUGGUCCCACCAGAAAAAUAUUAGCAUUCCAUUUUCCCCACAUCCUCACCAAUUUAUCUUUACUUGUAUUUUUGAUAAUUGCCAUUUUGACUGGAGUAAGAUGGACUCUCAGUAUAGUUUUAAUUUGUAUUUCUCUAAUUGCUGGAAAUAUUGAACUUUUUUUUUCAUAUAUUUACUGAUCAUUUACAUUUCUUCUUUGAGAAGUGCCUGUUUAAUUCCUUUGUCCAUUUAUUGAUUAGGUUGUUGUUGUGUUUUCUUUUGUUUGUUGUUAUUGUUGUGGUUUGGUUUGGUGUGGUGUUAAGCUUUUAGAGUUAUUUAUAUAUCCUGGAAAUUAACAUCCUGAGGUGCAGGUGGCAAAGAUAUUCUCCCAUUCUGUAGGUUCUCUUUUCAUGCUGCUUUUGCUGUAAAGAAGCUUUUUUAGAUUGAGGCUAUCCAGCUUAUUGAUUUUUGAAAUAUUUUUUGUGCUUUAGGAGUAUUGUUCAGGAUGUCAGUUCCUGUACUGAGAUGUUGAAGUGUUGGUCUGACUUUUCUUCAACUAGGUGAGAGUUUCUGUCUAAUUCCUAGGUCUUUGAUUCACUUAAAGUUGAUUUUUGUGCAGGGUGAGAGAUAGUGGUUAACUUUCAUCCUAUUAUGAUUCUGUUCUGUAUCAGUUUCCAGAUUGCCAAGUACCAUCUGUAGAAAAGGCUAUCUUUUCUCCAGUGUGUGUUUUGGGCACCUUUGCCUAGUAUGAGAUAAUUGAAUUUAUGUAACUUUGUCUCUGUGUCUUCAAUUCUGCUUCAUUAGUCUUCUUGCCUAUUUUGGUGCCGAUACCAUGCCAUUUUUGUUACUGUAGCUCUGUAGUAUAAUUUAAGGUCUGCUUCUGUGAUGCCUCCUGCUUUGUAUUUCUUGCUAAGGAUUGCUUUAGCUAUUCUGGAGCUCUUAUUUUCCAAAUGUAUUUCAUGAUUGCUUUUUCUAUUUCUUUGAAGAACAUCAUUGGGAUUUUGAUGAGAAUUGCAUUGAAUCUGUAUAAAGCUUUUGAUAGUAGGCCAUUUUGACAAUAUUGAUUCUGCCUAUCCAAGAAUAUGGGAGGUCUUUCCAUAUUCUAAGCUCUUCCUCAAUUUCUUUCUUUAGUGUUCUGUAAUUUUCAUUGUAGAGAUCCUUCACUUCUUUGGUUAAAUUUAUUCCUAAGCAAUAUUUUUGAGACUACUGUGAAUGAAAUAAUUUCCCUAAUUUCUCUUUCAGCUGAUUCAUCAUUGGAGUAGAAAAAUGCCAUUGAUUUAUGGGUCUUGAUUUUGUAUUUUGCUACAUUGCUGAAUUCAUGUAUGAGUUCCAGAAGUUUAUUAGUGAAGUUUUUUUAAUCUUCUAAGUAUAGAAUCAUGGCAUCCACAGAGAUAGUUUGCACUCUUCUUUUUCUAUUAUAUCUUUUUUUAAUUUCUUUCUUUCCUUCUUUUUUUUCCUAAUUGCUCUGGGUAGUGUUUCAAGGACUAUGUUGAACAGAAGUGGUGAAAGUGUGCAUUCUUAUUUUGUCCCCAUUUUUAGAAGGAAUGACUUCAGUUUUUCUCCAUUUAGAACAAUGUUGGGCUAGGAUUUGUCAUAUAUAGCUUUUACAAUGUUGAGCUAUAUUCCUAUUAUCCCUAGUUUUUCCAGUGUUCUAAACAUGAAUGGAUGCUGAAUAUCAAAUGCUUUUUCUGCAUUUAAUGUGAUAAUUAUGUGGUUCUUGUCUUUAAGUAUAUUUAUGUGAUGUAUUACAUUUAUUGAUUUCCAUGUGUUGAACAAACAUUGCAUCCCUGGGAUGAAACCCCUUUGAUCAUGGUAUAUUAUAUUUUUAAUGUAUUCUUGUAUGCAAUUUACCAGUAUUUUUUUUAAGAAUUUUUACCUUUCUGUUCAUCAUAUUGGUCUGAAGUUUUCUUUUCUUGAUUUGUCUUUGUCUGGUUUGGGAUCAGGGUGAUACUAGUUUCACAGAAUGAAUUUGGAAGGGUUCCUUCCAUUUCUGUUUUAUGGAAUAAUUUGAGGACUGGUGUUAGUUCUUCUUUAAAGCACUGGUAGAAUUCAGAUGAGAAUCCAUCUGAUAUCCUGUAGUUUUCUGUGUUAGUAGGCUUUUGAUGGUUUCUUCAAUUUCAUUACUAGAAAUUGACUUGUUUAAAUUUUUAUACCCUCGUGGUUCAAUUUGGGUAGAUCAUAUUUGUCAACAUCUUCAAGAUUUUCUAGUGUACUGGAGUAUAAGUUUUCAAAGUAGUUCCCAAUUAUCUUCUGUAUUUCAGUAGUGUCUGUGGUGAUAUUUUAAUUUUCAUCACAGAUUUUAACAAUUUGAAUUUUUUUCUGUCUUUUAGUUAGCGUGGCUAAGGGUUUAUCAAUUUUGUCUAUUCUUUAAAAGAAUCAACUUUUUGUUUUGUCAGUUCUUUGAAAUUUUUGUUAAUUUCAAUUUUAUUGAGUUCAGCUCUGAUUUUGAUUGUUUCUGGUCUUCCAUUGAUUUUGUUGUUUAUUUGUCCUUCUUUUCCUAGGCCUUGAGUGAAAUACUAGAUUAUUUAUUUGGUGUCUUUUUAUUCUUUUAAUGAAUGAGCUCAAUACUAUGAACUUUACUCUUAGAACCACGUUCAUAGUAUCCCAGAAGUUUUAAUAUGUUGUAUCACCAUUCUCAUUUACUGCUAAGCAUUUUUCAAUUUCUUCCCUGAUUUCUUCUGCUAUACAUUCAUCAUUCAAUAGUAAAUUAUUUAAUCUCCAUGUGUCAGAGUAGUUUCUGCAUUUUGUCUUAUCAUUGAUUUCUAAUUUCAUUCCAUUAUGAUCUAAUAGUAUGCAGGGUAUGGUCUCUAUUAUUAAUAAUUAUUUUUGUAUUUGCUAAGCAUUGCUUUUUGACUUAUAAUAUUAGAAGAUAUUCCAUAUGCUGCUGAGAAGAAGGUUCAUUCAGGCUUCAUGGAUGAAAUAUUCUAUAAUGUCUCUUAAGUCUAGAUUAUUGAUUGAAUUUUUUUUGUUCUGUAGCUUCUUUAUUUAGUUUUGUUUGGAUGAUCUAUCUAGUGUUGAGAGAAGUGUGUUAAAGUCACUGAGCAUUAUUGUGUUGUGGUCUAUUUGAUUCUUGAUUUGAGGAUGGUUUGUUUGAUGUCUGUAGCAGCUCCAUUAUUUGGGGCAUAAAUAUUGUAACUGUUAUUUCUUCAUGUUCUAAGAUUCUCUUAAGCAGUAUGAAAUGGCAUUCUUUUUCUCUUCUGAUUAACUUUGGUUUGAAAUCCACCUUAUCUGAUAUGAGAAUAAAAAACCCUGCUUGUUUAUGAGGAUGAUGUGAAUUAUAUAUUUUUUCACAUCUUUUCACUGUCUAUUGAUAUCUUUGUCUAUGUCGUAGGUAUCUUGGACACAACACAUAGUUGAGUCUUGUUUUUUGAUACAAUCUGCAAGCCCAUGUCUUUUGAUUGAUGAGUUUAGACCAUUUACAUUCAGUGUAAUUAUUGAAGGAUGCUUUUUAUGUCCUGUUAUUUUGGGUUUUUUUCCUAGUUUUUAAGUUGAAUUAAAUUCUCCUUUGAGUAUUCUUCUGGUGUUGUUUCUCCCUCUGUUGAUUUUUGUUUUUAUUCACCAUUUCUUCUUUAUGAAAUAUUUUAUUGAGUAUGUUUUGUAGUGCAGGCUUUCUAGUUAUAUAUUCUUUUAACUUUUGCUUAUCAUGGAAGGUUUUUAUUUCAUCAUUGAUUCUGAAGCUUAAUUUUGAUGGAUAUAGUAGUCAUGGAUGGCAUCCAUUUUCUUUCAGAGUUUGGUAUAUAUUAUAGCUUUGGUAUAUAUAUAGCUUUCAGGGUCUGGGUUUAAAAAAAUGGCUGAAAUUGGAUUGAUUUACCACUGAGUUUUUAAUUUGGUUUACUUAUUUCUUCAUUUCAAGGAUUUCCAACUGAUUCUUCUUCAGGAUCUCUAGAUAAAGAUAAUACAAGUAGUGGAAUAUCAUCAAUAAGGAUUGAAUGAUAUUCCACUUCUUGUAUUAUCUCUAUGAUUCCAUUUCUUAUAUCAUCUUUUACCUCAUAGAUCAAGUUAACCAUGAACUUUUAAAAAUCCCAUCUCUGAAAUUUCCUCCACUGUUUUGUCAAUGGUGUCUGUUGUUGAGGUAUUCUGUGUUGUUGGGGAUGGUUUGUUCCUUGCUUUUUUAAAAUUUGAACAUGGUUUAUUAUAGACUAUUAAAAUCAUUACAAUCAUUACAGAAAAUCAUUAAUAAAGAACUUGAUUCCUCAUUAUUUUUUUAGUUGUAGUUGAACACAAUACCUUUAUUCUUUAUUUUUUAUUUUUAUGUGGUGCUGAGGAUCAAACCCAGCACCUCGCACAUGUGAGGCAAGUGCUCUACUGCUGAGCCACAACCCCAGCCCCUCCCCAUUACUUUUUAAGAACAAUUAAUUUUCAAAUAAGAUUAAUCUCAGACCAGAAUUUAAUGUGAAAUGAUAUGCAUGCUGCUUCAUGAUACAGCUGGUCCAUUACAAAGCUUCAUUUACCUCUCACCAUAAUAGAAGAUUUAUUGAAGGUGUCAUUAAUGACCUCCAAAAUAUCUCUCCCUCUGGCUUAAAAAAUUACAAAAAGAAGGAACUAGGAAAUGAAAUGUAUAGAAUAUCAUUUGGGGUUCAAUUGGCUAAAAUGCACCUCCCUCUUUGGUCAGUUAGGAUAACAAAAGGGACCAGAUCUCACUGAACAGAUACUGUCAUUGCUCACAAAUGAAUGAUGGACAUGUCUUUAAUGACCUGUGCAAAUCUGUUAACAGGGCCUCCCAGAAGGAAUUGUGCAGUUGGAAAACCACAAAUCAUAAACUUGAGUCUAUUUCUAUUAAAGAAUUAUUUCCCAGACAUUAUGUUGUUCCCUUGCUUUUUCAUAUUGCUUUUGUGUCCAGCCACCUAUCUGGAUAGAUUUGGAUCUACAGAGUUUCUACCUUGAGAGUUUAUAGUGUCCCCCUAUAUUACUAACACCUCCCAGAUUUGGGGAGGGAUCCCAAUGAUAACAAGUAUCUGUGCAAAUAAUAAGUGGCAGUAGACUGGGUACUUAAUUCCUGUUUUGACAUCUACAGUAUUAAUUGGUACAAUAUGCAGGAAGAGUGGGAUCAGCAAUUUCCAUCGGUUAAAAACAAUAAAUAAUCAUAAAUUAUGCGUGACAUAAAAUCAAACAAUGGGUGUUGUCUAUGACUACUGUAUUAAUUAUUGCUAUGGAAUUGGUGUAGGA